rnacentral:lncRNA from 1 species
CCCCAUUUCAGUUUCCCAGGACCUGCUGCUCCUCGAGCCAACCUCAAAAUGAUGACAGUGCAUAUCCCACUCGCAGGCUGCUUGACUCUAACAAAACACCGAAGUACAGGGUGGCCACGGCAGCUUCUCCGAGGGACCCAUGAGGUGUAACAGCCAUCGGCUUAACUUCCCCAGCCACAUCCGAAACCUAAACAAAACCAGGGCAAACGCUUUACAUAGACCAGCAGGAAGGAGAGGGCAUGGCACUCCCAGAGCUAAAUAAUUCAUCUGCCUCUCUUAGGUACGCUGACAUGUUUGACACACAUUAAACAUUAAUGGAGAUCUUUUUACGGAUGGCUGAGUCACGCUGUCGGCGCGCCGUCUUCUGCCUCUCCACCUGCCCCUUUCUCCCUCAUCCAGCCUCGUUGGUGGAGUACGGCCACUUGUAACACUGCCCUUGGAUGGGACCAGGAGCCCCCAGGUGCUGGGGGGCAGAGGGGGCUCAGCAUCCCCUGGGAAUGCAGGGAUGAGAGCAGAGCCCACCAAGCCCCAGCCCACUGCUGCUAAAUUCACCAGCCCGCUGUUGUGUUAAUUGCCAAACGCGAGGGGCUGGGAAUCAUUUUGCAAAGCAAAUUACCUCCCUGGUUUCUAAAAGCUUCCUAGCCGUGUUUUUUUUUUUUUUUUAACUUCCUAUUUUUUCUUUCUCUCUCAAUAUAUAAACGCCAAUUAUAUUACUGCCUGCCUCUGUUUACUCGUUUUUUCAGUCGUUUCACUCUAAUGCCAGUUUGGCCCCUUCUGCCCAAAUCUCCUUGGCAUGCUACCAUAAAUGUUUAUAGCCCUAAGACUUACUGCUCUAAAGACACAUAUAAAGAGAUGACUGGGAUUAAAGCCUCACUAACUGCCUGGAUGUCUUCUUGGACAAGCACUCCUCUUAAAUUUACUGCAGUGGUACUCAACAGAAGGUAGAGGUACACAAAGCCAUCAGGCAGCCUUCAAAGACAGAGGAUACGCGUUUAAUCUCAUCUCACAUAUCCUAUUAGACUGUGAGACUGGAUGACAAGAGUUACCAAAGACAUGUUCUUCAUCCCAAACAUGCUUUUUUUUAUUGAAAGGGCUAAAAUAUUUCUAACACGAUUAUCACCUAGACUUGAUAAAUUGGCUACUUUUCAAUAAGGGGGAGCUCAGAGUGGCACAAAUAACUGGCUACAGGUUAAUGAGAUCUGACUGAUCUCCAGAGGGUGCAAGCUGCUGCUCUACAGAUGCCCGACAGCUGGAGUCAAAUGGCCAUCCCACUAACAUCCCUAAAACACAGGGAAAUAAUUUAAGGCCUCUCUUUCCAGCCCACUGCCAGGUUGUAAAAGAAAAAGCCACAGGCCUGACAAUGUCUCUUUUUUUUUUUUUUUCCAACAGAGCUGACCAAAG